AAUUUUGAUAGGAUGUGUUUUCAUAGG
rnacentral:piRNA from 1 species